rnacentral:rRNA from 1 species
UGGGGAAUAUUGCACAAUGGGCGAAAGCCUGAUGCAGCAACGCCGCGUGAGUGAUGAAGGUCUUCGGAUUGUAAAGCUCUGUCUUUUGGGACGAUAAUGACGGUACCAAAGGAGGAAGCCACGGCUAACUACGUGCCAGCAGCCGCGGUAAUACGUAGGUGGCGAGCGUUGUCCGGAUUUACUGGGCGUAAAGGGUGCGUAGGCGGAUGUUUAAGUGAGAUGUGAAAUACCCGGGCUUAACUUGGGUGCUGCAUUUCAAACUGGAUAUCUAGAGUGCAGGAGAGGAGAAUGGAAUUCCUAGUGUAGCGGUGAAAUGCGUAGAGAUUAGGAAGAACACCAGUGGCGAAGGCGAUUCUCUGGACUGUAACUGACGCUGAGGCACGAAAGCGUGGGUAGCAAACAGGAUUAGAUACCCUGGUAGUCCACGCCGUAAACGAUGAGUACUAGGUGUAGGGGGUAUCGACCCCUUCUGUGCCGCAGUAAAACACAUUAAGUACUCCGCCUG